UACUGAGUAGAGCAACGGUCCCACU
rnacentral:piRNA from 1 species